UGCCUAGCACCUAAGUACUU
rnacentral:piRNA from 1 species